UACGAAGGUCCCAAGCGUUAUCCGGAUUUAUUGGGUUUAAAGGGUGCGUAGGCGGCUUAUUAAGUCAGUGGGGAAAGCCCCAAGCUUAACUUGGGAACUGCCAUUGAUACUGAUGAGCUUGAGUAGAUUUGAGGCGGGCGGAAUGUGUCGUGUAGCGGUGAAAUGCUUAGAUAUGACACAGAACACCAAUUGCGUAGGCAGCUCGCUAAACUCUUACUGACGCUGAGGCACGAAAGCAUGGGGAUCAAACAGG
rnacentral:rRNA from 1 species